rnacentral:rRNA from 1 species
CAAUAGCGUAUAUUAAAGUUGUUGCAGUUAAAAAGCUCGUAGUUGGAUUUCGGGACGGGCCAGAUGGUCCGCCGCAAGGUGUGUUACUGACUGGUCUGUUCUUCUUCGCAAAGACUGCGUGUGCUCUUCGUUGAGUGUGCGUAGGAUUUACGACGUUUACUUUGAAAAAAUUAGAGUGUUCAAAGCAGGCUAUCGCUUGAAUACAUGAGCAUGGAAUAAUGGAAUAGGACUUUGGUCCUAUUUUGUUGGUUUCUAGGACCGAAGUAAUGAUUAAGAGGGACAAUUGGGGGCAUCCGUAUUUCGUUGUCAGAGGUGAAAUUCUUGGAUUUACGAAAGACGAACAACUGCGAAAGCACUUGCCAAGAGUGUUUUCAUUAA